rnacentral:rRNA from 1 species
GAUGACUGUAGGUGAAAGCUUACAUCUCUUCGGAGCAUUUUACGAGGUGCUGCAUGGUUGUCGUCAGCUCGUGCCGUGAGGUGUCGGGUUAAGUCCCAUAACGAGCGCAACCCCUUACCUUUAGUUGCCAUCAGGUAAUGCUGGGGACUCUAAAGGAACUGCCUACGCAAGUAGUGAGGAAGGCGGGGAUGACGUCAAAUCAGCACGGCCCUUACGUCCAGGGCUACACACGUGCUACAAUGGCCGAUACAGAGGGCAGCUACCUGGUGACAGGAUGCAAAUCUACCAAAGUCGGUCUCAGUUCGGAUCGGAGUCUGCAACCCGACUCCGUGAAGUUGGAUUCGCUAGUAAUCGCGCAUCAGCCAUGGCGCGGUGAAUACGUUCCCGGGCCUU